rnacentral:tRNA from 1 species
ACCAUGGUGGUGCAGUGGUCAGCACACCCGAUCUGGUAACCUAAGUCCCUAUAUUCGCUUACCUAAGUUCCUAAUACUCUCUCUCAAGGAUCGGGAGGUCGUAGGUUCGACUCCUACCCAUGGUG